UACGGGGGGGGCAAGCGUUGUUCGGAAUUACUGGGCGUAAAGGGUUUGUAGGUGGCUUGCUAAGUCAGACGUGAAAUCCCUCAGCUUAACUGGGGAACUGCGUCUGAGACUGGCAAGCUUGAGUGCAGGAGAGGAACGCGGAAUUCCAGGUGUAGCGGUGAAAUGCGUAGAUAUCAGGAGGAACACCAAUAGCGAAGGCAGCUCGCUGGGACGGUAUUGACGCUAAGGCGCGAAAGCGUGGGGAGCAAACAGG
rnacentral:rRNA from 1 species